rnacentral:rRNA from 1 species
AGAGUUUGAUCCUGGCUCAGGACAAACGCUGGCGGCGUGCGUAACACAUGCAAGUCGAGCGGGCUGCUUUCGGGCAGUCAGCGGCGGACGGGUGAGUAACACGUGAGUGACCAACCCUCCAGUGGGGGAUACCCCGCGGAAACGCGGGAUAAUCCCGCAUACGCUUCUUUCGAGAAGGAAAGCGGCAACGCGCUGGUGGA